GUGCCAGCCGCCGCGGUAAUACCAGCCCCGCGAGUGGUCGGGACUCUUGCUGGGCCUAAAGCGCCCGUAGCCGGCCCGGUAAGUCCCUCCUUAAAGCCCCGGGCUCAACCCGGGGAGCGGGGGGAUACUGCCGGGCUAGGGGGCGGGAGAGGCCGGGGGUACCCCAGGGGUAGGGGCGAAAUCCGAUAAUCCCUGGGGGACCACCAGUGGCGAAGGCGCCCGGCUGGAACGCGCCCGACGGUGAGGGGCGAAAGCCGGGGGAGCGAACCGGAUUAGAUACCCGGGUAGUCCCGGCUGUAAACUAUGCGGGCCAGGUGUCGGGCGGGCGUUAGAGCCCGCCCGGUGCCGCAGGGAAGCCGUUAAGCCCGCCGCCUGGGGAGUACGGCCGCAAGGCUGAAACUUAAAGGAAUUGGCGGGGGGGCACACAAGGGGUGGAGCCUGCGGCUCAAUUGGAGUCAACGCCGGGAACCUCUACCGGGGGCGACAGCAGGAUGACGGCCAGGCUAACGACCUUGCCCGACGCGCUGAGGGGAGGUGCAUGGCCGUCGCCAGCUCGUGCUGUGAAGUGUCCUGUUAAGUCAGGCAACGAGCGAGACCC
rnacentral:rRNA from 1 species